rnacentral:rRNA from 1 species
AUUGAACGCCGGCGGCAUGCCUUACACAUGCAAGUCGAACGGCAGCACGGGUGCUUGCACCUGGUGGCGAGUGGCGAACGGGUGAGUAAUAUAUCGGAACGUACCUUAUUGUGGGGGAUAACGCAGCGAAAGCUGUGCUAAUACCGCAUAAUCCCUAAGGGGGAAAGCGGGGGACCGUAAGGCCUCGCGCAAUUAGAGCGGCCGAUACCUGAUUAGCUAGUUGGUGAGGUAAAGGCUCACCAAGGCAACGAUCAGUAGCUGGUCUGAGAGGACGAUCAGCCACACUGGGACUGAGACACGGCCCAGACUCCUACGGGAGGCAGCAGUGGGGAAUUUUGGACAAUGGGGGCAACCCUGAUCCAGCAAUGCCGCGUGAGUGAAGAAGGCCUUCGGGUUGUAAAGCUCUUUUGUCAGGGAAGAAACAGCAGCUCUAACACAGUUUGCGAAUGACGGUACCUGAAGAAUAAGCACCGGCUAACUACGUGCCAGCAGCCGCGGUAACAC